AGAGUUUGAUCCUGGCUCAGGAUGAACGCUAGCUACAGGCUUAACACAUGCAAGUCGAGGGGAAACGGCAUUGAGUGCUUGCACUCUUUGGACGUCGACCGGCGCACGGGUGAGUAACGCGUAUCCAACCUUCCCAUUACUGUGGGAUAACCUGCCGAAAGGCAGACUAAUACCGCAUAGUCUUCGAUGACGGCAUCAGAUUUGAAGUAAAGAUUUAUCGGUAAUGGAUGGGGAUGCGUCUGAUUAGCUUGUUGGCGGGGUAACGGCCCACCAAGGCUACGAUCAGUAGGGGUUCUGAGAGGAAGGUCCCCCACAUUGGAACUGAGACACGGUCCAAACUCCUACGGGAGGCAGCAGUGAGGAAUAUUGGUCAAUGGACGGAAGUCUGAACCAGCCAAGUAGCGUGCAGGAUGACGGCCCUCCGGGUUGUAAACUGCUUUUAGUUGGGAAUAAAAAAAGGGACGUGUCCCUUAUUGUAUGUACCUUCAGAAAAAGGACCGGCUAAUUCCGUGCCAGCAGCCGCGGUAAUACGGAAGGUCCAGGCGUUAUCCGGAUUUAUUGGGUUUAAAGGGAGCGUAGGCUGGAGAUUAAGUGUGUUGUGAAAUGUAGACGCUCAACGUCUGAAUUGCAGCGCAUACUGGUUUCCUUGAGUACGCACAACGUUGGCGGAAUUCGUCGUGUAGCGGUGAAAUGCUUAGAUAUGACGAAGAACUCCGAUUGCGAAGGCAGCUGACGGGAGCGCAACUGACGCUUAAGCUCGAAGGUGCGGGUAUCGAACAGGAUUAGAUACCCUGGUAGUCCGCACAGUAAACGAUGGAUGCUCGCUGUUGGCCUUUAAUGGUCAGUGGCUUAGCGAAAGCGUUAAGCAUCCCACCUGGGGAGUACGCCGGCAACGGUGAAACUCAAAGGAAUUGACGGGGGCCCG
rnacentral:rRNA from 1 species